rnacentral:rRNA from 1 species
UACGGAGGGUGCAAGCGUUAAUCGGAAUGACUGGGCGUAAAGCGCACGCAGGCGGUUUGUUAAGUUGGAUGUGAAAUCCCCGGGCUUAACCUGGGAACUGCAUUCAAAACUGGCAGGCUAGAGUCUCGUAGAGGGGGGUAGAAUUCCAGGUGUAGCGGUGAAAUGCGUAGAGAUCUGGAGGAAUACCGGUGGCGAAGGCGGCCCCCUGGACGAAGACUGACGCUCAGGUGCGAAAGCGUGGGGAGCAAACAGG